rnacentral:rRNA from 1 species
GACGCUGGCGGCGUGCCUAAACAUGCAAGUCGAGCGGACAGAAGGGAGCUUGCUCCCGGAUGUUAGCGGCGGACGGGUAGAGUAACACAGUAGGAGUAACCUAGCGCUAGUNAAGUACUAGGGGUAUUAAACCU